rnacentral:lncRNA from 1 species
CCUAAGCAUUUUAAGCCUAAGUAUUUCAGAUAAUCCUAUUUCUUCUAGCAGGAAACAAUUAGCAAUUUCUAUUUCAAAUAAUCAAAUUUCUCAUAACAAUGAUUCAGUCACGGAGUAACACAUCUCACAAAAUUAGAUAAAGUUAGCAAUCAUACAAGCUACAAAACCAAGUUUAUGGAAUCAAACAAUUCAUACAAGCUAGGAAACAUUCAAUUUCAAAUACCAAAUUACCAAUAACUGAAUC